AUGAGGAAAAAAGUGUGCAAAAGAGGGGAGGAUACCCGCCACCCCCGAUGGAGGAGAGGAAUGGGAACAAAGGCAACCCCAGGAGGAAUGCAGCCUUGUCCAAAGCUUUGACAUUGGGCAGAGAAUUGGAUGCAUCAUUCACAUAAAUCCUGGAGGGCAGGUCACCACCGGCCACUACAGGUUCUGGUUGCCAUGACUCUCAUUUUUAGUGGCACUACACUAGCAUCUGCAGGUCUCAUAUAACCCCUGCCCCAGAGAGAUCAAGAUCCCGAGAGACAAAACAUGUAGUGUGGACAGAAGAACGUGAAAUGAUCUGGUGCAAGAUCUCCAGAGGGCCAACACGGCACAGCUGUCUUGACAUCCACCUCAGCGCCACAUCUGCUAUCCUUGGCCUUCAUUGUUAACUUUCACAACACUGGUGUUUUCAAUCUAACCCAUGUUCUCCCUAGUCCCGCUGGCUUUUGGACCUUAAGGAACAUGAACUCCCUUAAUCCACUAGUAGAAACAGCCACAGAAGCAGUGCAAGUUGCCUGUGUUGAAGCACCCCUAUACAGCAUCAGGCAGAGAUACCUGAUGGUCAAAUAACCCCAGUCUAUCUCCUGCCCACUGGAGCUCCAGCACUCACCAGAGGUGCCUUAGCAUGACACUUUGCCUCUGGCAGUUAUUGCUUGAGGACUCUGUGGAAGAAUAGACAAUGCAGAAACGUCAUCAAAACUGGUAAAAGCCAAACUUUUGCCUGCAUGUAUGCAGCCCACCACAGCUGCCUCAUGAAGUAUCUGUAUCAGGGCUGACAGUUUUUUAUUGCAUGGUGGCACAUUCCUCCUAAGAAGCGCUGAUGAUCAGUAUAGACCUUUAUGAUGGAUGCUGAAGGCUUUUCUUGGCCAAGCCUAGCGAAGGUGAUGCUGCAGGAGAUGCUCCCUUAGUCAUGACAGAAAACAGCACUGUGAGGGGAGGGAAACUGAGGGCUCAGCAGCAAGGCAAGGCAGAUGAUACCCAGAUCCUUUUGUUUGCACUGGUAUAUGGAUGUUACUACUAAUACGAGGACAGAAAUUGGACACCCAGAAGGCCUGAGAGGCAAUGCAUGUCUUGUGUUGAGAAGAACCAGAGAAAGAGUAAAGAAAAGGAACUGGACAGCCACAUGAGGUAGAGGGGCAAGUGCACCCCUUCAGAUGCACUCAGCAGCCACCAGGCCCCUUGAGCAGUACUUAGGGGGUGCUGAUCCACACAACCCUGCUGCUGCAAUGCAGAGUUCUUCAAGCUUGAAAGAGAAGCAGCCAUUCACCUCUGACUUCAGGAAUCAAGGUAACGGGGCAACUUUUCUACAGCUGCAAAUAGGACCAUUUAUUUAAAGCCCCUGGAGCUACACCCUUUCAUGCUGUUAGAGUUCAGUGCAACAGUGCCUAUCGUUUGAUGACCAGGCCACGCAGAGCUCUGCACCUCUGAAGGAUCACAACUUCCAGAGCACCUGCCUCAGAGACCCUGUUCAAAGCGGAAUGUUAAAGGCACAGUUGGAAGAAUUUAUUUGUGACUGGAAGGAGACAGAUGAGGAAGCAGAAAGGAGCAAGAGUGCCAGCUGGAGAGCUGCAGGAGGGGAUGACGGGGGUGACAAUGAGCAGGGGGAAACCUUGAAGGGCUACGUAAGGAGAUGACCCGCAGCUUUUGCCUACCUUCUGCAACAGGAGAGAGCCUGAAUACUUAGUCACAACAGAGUACAGCUCCCCACUGAAGGCAUCUGCCCAAGACUUCACACUA